rnacentral:rRNA from 1 species
UGCCAGACUCCUACGGGAGGCAGCAGUGGGGAAUAUUGGACAAUGGGGGAAACCCUGAUCCAGCGACGCCGCGUGAGUGAAGAAGUAUUUCGGUACGUAAAGCUCUAUCAGCAGGAAAGAAAAUGACGGUACCUGACUAAGAAGCCCCGGCUAACUACGUGCCAGCAGCCGCGGUAAUACGUAGGGGGCAAGCGUUAUCCGGAUUUACUGGGUGUAAAGGGAGCGUAGACGGCAGCGCAAGUCUGGAGUGAAAUGCCGGGGCCCAACCCCGGAACUGCUCUGGAAACUGUGAAGCUGGAGUGCAGGAGAGGUAAGCGGAAUUCCUGGUGUAGCGGUGAAAUGCGUAGAUAUCAGGAGGAACACCGGUGGCGAAGGCGGCCUGCUGGACUGCAACUGACGUUGAGGCCCGAAAGCGUGGGGAGCAAACAGGAUUAGAUACCCGGGUAA